GUACAGAAAAUAUAAAGCCAUUUUAUUUUGAAAGUGCAAUUAUUUUGUAAAAGGAAAUAGUUGUUGUUGUUUUACGCUUGACUUCCUCCUGUGAGUUCACAUGUGAGGAUAAUAGUAUUUUAAUUGGUCCGAUUAACAUGAUCCCGCCCUCUCGAGACAUCGUCUCGAAGGUUCUUUAUUUUACGUUCUUUUCCGCUUGGAUGCCAAAGAGGAAGGACGUAGUCAACUUCCUCAGCGCUUGGAGCCAAUAAGUCACCCUUCUAGAAAUAAAAUAAUUGACUCAACGCUGAAAUAAGGCCGUUUGAACAAAUAAUAAGAAGGAAAUUACAUUUCCUCGUGUAUGUGAACCGGAGGAUUGGAGCCUGCAUCCACCCAAGUUCACAUUAAAAGAAAAACUUCGUCUUGGCUGGGUUUUUUGUUUCCUCCUUUCAUUCCAUUCAUUGGACGUGGAUGAAGAAUUCGAAACUGGAUAAAGACACUGGAUAAAGACUUUUCCAACAGAUGAAGAUGGCGAGCUAAUGCCCGGAAACCAACUGAAUUGAAUUUAGACGGACUGUCUGGUUUGAAUUUUUGUUAUUUUAUUGUAUAUAUUUGUGUAUAUAUCGCCGGCUUAAAUUAUAAAUAGUUUUUGUAUUAAUACAAUUAUUUUGUUACUCAUCUCGACUCCAGUUAUUUCAGUUACUAAACAUUAUUUUCCUUAUUGUAAUCUCCGAGAACCUAGUUUUCUGCCCAAAUACAAUUGCAUUCAUAACAGAACCCCGUCAUCUCGAACCGGGGGUUACAAUUAGUAUUAGCGGUUAGCAUUUUUAGUUAAUGUUAGCUAAUACCAUAGGCAAUUAACGUCCACAUUAGCCAUUACAUAACCAAUAGGUUAACAGUUUAACCCAAGGCACACAUAGAACCGCCCCAUUUUUAAUUUUGGCAGCUUUGGUUCUCUAUAGUCAAGAAUUAUGACAGAACUUUAUAACAGCGAACUAAAGCAUCUUAUUUUUGAGAGGGGUACAUAAUAGGGUCAUUUAUAGUUGCAUAAUUUCAAUGAAGAAUUGUGUAAGGGGCUCUAUUACCUAAUGAAAAAAGAAUAAGUACAAAGUAUUUGUGGCAAAUUUAAACCCUUAACGCCAAUAUAUUUCCCAGCAAAAGCAGGAUAUGAACUUCACUUGGGGCCUAAGCUGUCCCCUUUAAUGUUAUUUUCCCAUGAUGCUGACACUGACAAUCCUGUCCUACUGGAUAAUAGAAUGGAAACAGUGUGAAAACAAUAGGCCAGAAGUUAUAACAGGCUUCGAGACUGACAUCAUGCGUUUCCUGUUGUUGACAAACUCUCCUGAUAAUCACACAUAUGCAUGAGUUCCCACACAUUUGUGUCGUAAAAGAAACCACCAACAUGAUGGAUUAAUUAAUUUUUUAACGGCAUUUUCCUUCUCUCUCUCUCUGUCUCUCUCUCUUACUCUCUCGCGUUCUUCUAUUUUUAAAGUUAUAUUUUUUUCUUCUUCUUAUAAGGGGUCUUUUUUUUAGGGUGCCAUUUGGACAUAACAGAGUGGACACUAACAGAGGGGGCAUUUUGUAUUAAAGUUAGCUCUUAGCCUAACUUUGCGAGCAUAAUAGCUAACAUGACUUUGGAUACUUCAUUUUACCAAUAAAGCUUUUGAAAUUAUUCAAUUGAUUUCUUUGAUAUAUAGCUUUAAAAAAGUGGGCACAUUAUGAUCAACCACAAUGAACGUACUUCAUAAAACUGCAAAAUCGGAUUUUCAAAGGAGGUAAAAAAUAAAAUUGCUUGCCACAGAUGAACCCGCCACUGGUGUGAUGUUAUCAUAGAAGAGUGCUGUAGGGGUGUGACAAAAUAUUAAAAUGGUGAUACAGUGGGGCAAAUGAGUAUUGAGUCAACAACUAAUUGUGCAAGUUCUC